rnacentral:lncRNA from 1 species
CCGAGUAGAGGAUGAAGCGGCUCCUGGAUGGAGGCAGAGGCUUCCUGGAUCUUCAAGUUCUGUAUGGGUUGUUGUAUGAGUUCUUAGUUCAAGACACCAAGAGCCUGGACACCCUCCACUGGUAACAAAAGUAACUGGUGUUUUUGCCAUUAGAAGUAAUGGCACAGAACAAGUACAUGAGAGCGAUUUCUUAUGGAAAAUUAAAUGGCGCAUAAGUCGUGUGCUCAGGUGCAAGUAGCUGGGCCAGAAGGACCUCGGCACGUUACGGAAUAUUUACUACAGGAACAGCAUGCAAGACAACAUGCUAGACACACGAAAGAUGGAAUAAAUGGAAGAAAAUGCAACACAGAUCUCAUGCUUAAGAGGGACAGAUUUACUCUGAAGAUUCAAUGAAAAAACAUCCACAAACAACUUUUCUACAAGAAACAAAACAUUUUAAAGAAAACAUUUACUUCAGCCGGGCGC